GUCUAUGGCCAUACCACCCUGAACGCACGCGAUCUCGUCUGAUCUCGGAAGUUAAGCAGGGUCGGACCUGGUUAGCACUUGGAUGGGAGAGAAAGUAUGAAAUCUGUGGGGACUUGGUCU
rnacentral:rRNA from 1 species